GUCGUACGAGAAAAGGACCUUCGGGUCCCGAGUAUAGUGGCGCACGGGUGAGUAACGCGUGGGUAAUCUGCCUUCGGNUCUGGGAUAACUCCGGGAAACUGGGGCUAAUACCGGAUAAGACCACGACGUCUUCGGACGAUGCGGUCAAAGGUGGCCUCUCCAUGGAAGCUUCUGCCUGAAGAUGAGCCCGCGUCCCAUUAGCUUGUUGGUGAGGUAACGGCUCACCAAGGCUCCGAUGGGUAGCUGGUCUGAGAGGAUGAUCAGCCACACUGGAACUGAGACACGGUCCAGACUCCUACGGGAGGCAGCAGUCGGGAAUUUUGGGCAAUGGGGGCAACCCUGACCCAGCAACGCCGCGUGAGGGAUGAAGGCCUUCGGGUCGUAAACCUCUGUCGGGAGGGAAGAACGGCAUCCGGUCCAACAGGCCGGGUGUUUGACGGUACCUCCAAAGGAAGCGCCGGCUAACUCCGUGCCAGCAGCCGCGGUAAUAC
rnacentral:rRNA from 1 species